AUUCUGACUGUGCGAAGGUAGCAUAAUAAAUUGUCUUUUAAAUGAAGGCUUGAAUGAAAGGUUGGACAAAGUGUCAUCUGUUUCUUAAAUAUUUAUUGAAUUUGACUUUCAAGUGAAAAGGCUUGAAUAAAUUAAAAAGACGAUAAGACCCUAUAAAUCUUUACAAUAAAUAUAUUUUAUAUUUUAGUUUAUUAAGUGUAUAAGAUAUUGAGUAUAUAGUUGUUUCGCUGGGGCGGCGUGGAUAUAUUAAUAAACUGUCUAUAUAUUAAAACCAAUAAUCAUUGAUUAAUAAGAAUGAUCCUUAAACAGAUUAGAAGAUUAAGAUACUUUAGGGAUAACAGCGUUAUUUUUUUUGAGAGUUCUUAUCGAAGAAAAAGUUUGCGACCUCGAUGUUGAAUUAAAGUAUCUUUAUGGUGCAGCCGCUAUAAGAGAG
rnacentral:rRNA from 1 species